GCUCUGGACUCACCUAGUAGAACUUGGUUCCGGGGAUUGCUUGCACCGUCCACGUCGCCGUCCUCCUCUGGAUUGGCUUUCCUUUACGUUUUCACUAGGGGUUGUUGCUCGUAGAGUCGCUGUGAAGAGUCGGAGGCCGACGUCCGUGUGGGAAAGGGCCGCACGUCGCCAGUGGACAGUAGAGCUUCAGUUGAGUGCAGGUGUCCGGUGUCCGUGUCCGGAAAGGGCCUCACGUCACAAGUCGGGGUUGCGGAUCCUCGUGGGCAGCUCUCCGGUGACAGGCAUGCCGAUCUUCCUCCUCGCAGCAACACUCUUCACUGUGGCCCAGGAAACUAUUGGGACGUGCGUCUUCAUUGACAAGGCCGUCGCGCGACAGUUUUCUAGGAACCGCUGUCUGCUACUUGGUUCUUUUUGCGGUGUCUGAAGGUAAAGACGCUGCAGCACUGGUUGCCUCUUCGGUUCUUUCAAGGUUUGGGACAGUGAGAAGGGCUUUCUUGUAGUUUGUCUCGGGGAGUGCAGAGCCGUAAAGGGUGCAUUACAAUGCCGAAUCCUCGUCCUAAAGGUGAGCAGAGCGCACGUGCAAGGUCAGGCGUCCAUAUAUCUACGGGUAAUUCUUAGAAGCAAUAAAACGUGUGGCGAAGCAUCACACCGCCACUGCCAUAUCGUGACGGCAAACAUCUCAGUGAAUGGCAACUCUGCCACUGCCACCGCUUUCCCGUGAUGUUUCAACAUCACUAAC